rnacentral:rRNA from 1 species
AAUAGAGAGACGGGUGGAGGGGUGCAAAGCGGGGGGUAAAGCUUCGGGUGGCUUAAGGAGCGCUAAGGAGAGGGGAGCGGAGGAGCAGGAGGGGGAGGAUCCCCUAGCGGCCUCUCCUUAGCGCUGCUCCCGAAGGAGGAUAGUCAAUUUAGUUUCGGUACCUCGUGUUCCUCUGGCCGACGGUCAGAGCCCUCCCAGGGUAGGAAACGCAGUUAUUGACGCCUAAGAAACCGUCACGCCGCUGGUACUUGUACACGAGGUUCACGGUGUUCCUCUACCGCUACUUCGUCCUCGUCCGGUUCGACCGACGGAGGAGAAAGCUGUCGUAGCAGUUGCCACCGCUACGGCGCUUUCUUGUGGAACGACGACCGUCGUGCCGCCACCGUCAACGAGUGCAACUCCGCUUCUGCGAAUAAUGGCGUGUCGGACGACUAUAGCGGCCAGGGUCGCUCCGCCGCUACCUCUUGGGGUUUCCGGGUUCGGCCACGUCGUGGACGUCUUUCUCCCAACCCGACUGGCCUAAGUUGACGGCCACGCCCUUGAACAUGACGCGCUGCGUGGCAAUGAGCCUGUUCGUGCUCACGUUCAAACUGAUGGCGCGGCGCCGGUACCUGCGGUAGCGGUUCCGGUUGGGCCACCACUUCCGCCUCUUCGAGCUGUUCUAGAUCCUUCCCCGGAGGGAUGCCAGCCGUCUUGUAUUCAACAACCCGUUAGCACUACGUACCGUGUGCGCGGUGCCGCCGUCGGGGUCCAGGCUUGCCAGAGGAACAACCGAUACAACACAUUCGAAAUAAAUACCAGCAGAGAGACGCGCCGCCUUGCAGCGUUGGCCAUUACCAUAGCUCAUUCGCAGCAGCAGACAAUAAUACCAUGGGUACCAGUAAGCGGGAACAGUCAUCAAAGAAAGAAGGACU